GUGGGACAGCAGUUUGUUUAAAUUAGCAAUUUGCAUCCAUCUAUAUUUUCUUGCGUGAGAAGACUUUCACAUAGUUGGGCACCCGUGACCCAGUCAGAUGGCGGAGGAUAAAGUGUUGGCGGUGUGCAUCAAUACCGAGUAAGUCGUGCCAAUGUAAUUCAUGUGCAUGAAAACACAUUGGUAGGAUUUGGCAUAGUCUGUUUUCACCACGAUAUUUGGUUUUGUGUGACUUUGUCUCUCCUCCCAUGAGUCGAUAGUGAAGUUAGUGUCAAGUACGCUAAGUAGUGCACCAAAGGUUGUGUGACUUGGCUCCGUAUUAGCUGCCUGAAUGUUGUUGACUUAACAGUGUUUGACAAAACUGCCCUGUGUGAAAUGCCAAAACUCAUGUUAUCUAUGUUGACCUGUUGGUCCUUUUAUACCAUUGUAACUAUUUAUGUUCUCAUAUUUGUUCACAUAAAAAGUGAUAGUGAUUGUGAUCUUGUAAGCACAUUUAGUUCUAAUUUAGAUAUUUAGAAUAUUCCCAUCCCCGGAAUUCUAUGGAAAGGAAUAUCCUUCACCCACAAUAUAAACCUAUCCAUUAACAUUUUGACUAUGAUAUUACGUGUUACCGGAACUUGCGUAAGCGAAAAUUCCACUACCCGUAACCCGGAUGGAGGUGUAAUGCCGCGGGAGCUUAAAUACACGUAACGUCCACCCGAUGCGACGGAAAAUACACAACGCUGAAACAAGUUUUCACUUCGCGUUUUUCGAUCAUCAGAUUCUAAACGACGACGUAACGCGGCACUAGCUUAAAAGCAGCACCCACUCGACAUGGCCGAAGAAACGUGUUCGCUUCGCCGUUUUCAUUCAUCAGAUUCGAAACGAAGACGUAUCAUCGCAUCAAAACGUAGAAUAACUGUAACGAAUGGAGCGGAGCGAGUGAAAUGCAUCCGUUUGAGCGAGGCUGGACACCAAGUUAAAACGAUCCAGCAGACACCUGGAGUCGGAAAGACGCAAAUCUACGAAACUUUAAAAAAACAAGGCAUCGAUUCAACUCCUGAUGACAACCCACCAUCCAGCAAUGAAGCAACUCAAAUGGCAACAAAAAUCAUUCAGUAUGCACAAGAAUUACCAGACAUCGGUGAUCAACGGGACAGUUACUUGCAACUAGCAAGAAAAUUGUAUGACACGCAGGCAAACAUUGUCAUUAACCAAAGACUGCAUCCAACAAAACAAUCCAAAAUAUAUAUUUUUUUCCCAAGACAGAAAAAAAUUAAACAUUAAAAUACUUUACGUAUUUACUGUUGUGAUUUUUUGGGAUACACCUGUAUUGCGGUUUUUGUUAUAUAAACAGUUUUUGGACAAUAUAAUUUUGUAUUUUAUUGAUUGUGUUGUUACACGUGCAUUUUGUCAACAUACUUGCAGGUUCAUAAAGGACAUGUACCAUGCUCAUUUCCCAAAUGAGGAAUUUCUGUUAUCAGGACAAAUUGGACAGUGCAAACACGAGCCCGUAGUAGAGAAUAUUUACUGUAUAUAUAUAUAUAUAUAUAUAUAU